rnacentral:snRNA from 1 species
AGACCUUUCUCGGCCUUCUGGCUAGGAUAAAGCGUAUAAUUCUGUUCUUAUUCUUCUUGAAUAAGUUCAGAAUUUAGGAAUAUGUUCACUUUGCGGUCCCUCAACUUUCGGUCGAGUUCAAAUAUCGGAUGUGUGGGCCAUGUUCACAUGGCAUGGCCUGCUUUUAUAUCCAACUUAUUUUUUAUGGGGGAGGGCCCAUCAGUGGCUUUGCCACUAUGGCCCUUGUGCGUUGCCGAGGCGUUGCACUACUGCCCGGGCCUGGCGCACCCCAA